CAGCAGCCGCGGUAAUACGGAGGGCGCAAGCGUUGCUCGGAAUCACUGGGCGUAAAGCGAACGCAGGCGGUCUGUUAAGUUGGGUGUGAAAUCCCGGGGCUCAACCCCGGAACUGCAUUCAAAACUGGCAGCCUUGAGUAUGGGAGAGGGAAGCGGAAUUCCUGGUGUAGAGGUGAAAUUCGUAGAUAUCAGGAGGAACACCAGUGGCGAAAGCGGCUUCCUGGCCCAAUACUGACGCUCAUGUUCGAAAGCGUGGGGAGCAAACAGGA
rnacentral:rRNA from 14 species